ensembl:snRNA U1 U1 spliceosomal RNA
UUACCUAUCUCCAGGAGAGGUACCGUGAUCACCAGGAAGAUGGUUUUCCCAAGGUCAGGCUUAUCCAUUGCACUCCGGAUGUGCUGACCUCUAUGAUUUUCCCAAAUGUGGAAAACUCGACUGCAGAAUUUGUGGCAGUGGGGUCUGAGUUUGUGCUUCUCCCUG